rnacentral:lncRNA from 1 species
AAAAUUUGAGCUGGGAGCACAUUUUCUAUGGAAGGCAUUCUCCUAGAAAAAUUGGCUAGUUUUUCAUGAAACUCAAAAAAAUCUGCUUAACUCACAAGGAAGUAGUAAUAUAAUAUGAAUGGUAUUCUUUCAGCUUUAGUGACUCAAAGUAGGUGUUCUAUAAAUGUUCUUUUUUAAAAAGAAAAUUUUCCAACCAUUAUUUACAGCACAUUAAGGAAUGUGUCUAUUGAUGGGUAGGAAAAGUUUCCCCCCAACCAAAUAAUUCUUUGUAAUAAUGUCUUCACUUCCUCCCUGCCCUUUGUGCUUUAUCCUCCUAGAGAUAGCCAAAGAAGAAUUUAAAGUUAUCAUUUAUGUCCUGUACCAGACCUCCACAGACUGGCUUAUUUGGAUAAUUCAAGUGAAAUACAACCAAGAUGUUUCUUUAGUUUUGCGAAGUCUAGACUCAACAUCAAUAUUGCACACAUUUUUCAGAUAUAUAUGUGAUGUUUUUUGAAUUGUUAUACAAUUUCCUGCCUUGAUAUUUCAGUCAAAUGUAUUGGGUAGGUUAUCAGAGGGCGUUGUUUUCAAAAAAAGCCUUUUUCCUUCAAUUUAUUUUGUUAAAGCAUCAGACUGCCAAAGAAUCUUAACUUCUAUGUAAGGGGUGAUACAUUAAUACCUUUUUGGUUGAUUUUCAGCUACAGAAUGCACAGCCUUGAUGGACUUGCUUUAAUCCACACUAAAGCUUAUAUGACAUGAGGAAGUCAUGCAGAACAGAACAGGCCUUUCUGGAACUUUUAUAUUUUAAGAAGUCUUCAGCCUGUUAGUACAACAGGUUACCUUUUGGCAGGCACAUUUUCCUCCUGCUCGAAUGCUAUAAACACCCCAGCAGGGACGAUAAAUAGCAAUGUAGACAGCAAGGGAAAAUAUUUGCUAAAAGAUACUCCUGCACUUUCUCUUUUUGAUGUUUCCCUUGUAAGUUUUAGUUGAAGAAACUGGAAAAAAUAGAAAUGUAAAAGUUGAAACAGCAAAAUUAUAAAGUGACAGGUGAUACAACAAAACAUAUCAGUUUGUACUCAAAAUGUAAAGCAAUAAAGCAAGCACACAUUGAGACUCUCUAAUUAGUAUAAUUUGCAUUCACAAAGUUCAAAGUGGAACUUGGGUAUUGCCAUUCUCUUGCUUCUCUCCCUAACAAGCCACAGGUAGCCGAAAUGAGGCACAUUGAGAGUUCAAAUUUGGCAAAACUCUGCAGCAAUUCAGUGACAGAAUAAAACAUGGGAAAUGGAUGUUUUGAAAUUGAGUCUGUAUCUUAAAGAAAGUGAAAGUAAAACUUUAUAAUAAAAUAAGGCUAAAUCAUACACAAUUAGUGUAUCCUUUUGAAAAUUAGUUUGUGUUUUAUAAGGUCAAAUGGCUUCUUUAAAUUCAUACUGUGCUAUUGUAUCUAGCCUGGCAUGUUUCUUUACUGUAGUUCUUUUUCUGAAUUUUUAAACCCCUUUGUGAUUUCACAGAGUUAGUAAUUAUGUUGGGAUGUUGGGGCGUGGACUGGAUGUAGC